rnacentral:siRNA from 1 species
GACCACAAUCCGGAAAAAACUGUG